ensembl:lncRNA
AUGCUAAAUGGGAUUUCCUGUAUUUCAACCUGUGCCCACUGCCUCUUGUGCUUUCGUUGGGCACCACUGACAGGAAGGCUCUGUCUUCUCUUCCCCACCCAAAGUCACCCUUCUCUGAGGCUCAAGCCGUCACCACUCACUCAGGUUCCUUCAUACCACAGAGCCUCAACAGCCUCAGCUGCUUGGGGGGUUCUCCCUGCCACAGCUGUGUGUUUUGUCAUUGUGGAGAGCACAGGUCAGGGUGCAGUGCCAGGUGCCAUCUGUCCCCAGGAGGGAGUCAGCUUGCUGGUGACCUGUCUCCUCACCCAUCCUGGGAGACUGUUGGCUGCUACCUGGGCUUUCCUACACUCUCCACCUGGGCAGGCAGGCAGUGCUGGGCAGCCCACCCUUUGGGCUGGGAAGAUGUUGAAAAGAAGCAAUUCCUGUGCUUUCUCCCUGGGCAGAACCUCGAACUGGACCAAGGCAGGUGCCUGCGGGGGGAACAGGAGAAGCUCCUGGGUGUGUGAGCUGUAUUUUGACAGGAUUCAUGAUAUCUACUGGGCACGGGUGAGAGUGGUGGCCGGAGGUGAGCAGUCCGAGUGGGCCAGUUCCAGCGAGCUGCAGCUGUACAGAGACACAAUUAUUGGCCCCCCCAAGUUGUCCUGGCUGCUCCAGGAUCAAAUCCUCAGCAUAAAAAUCAUCACACCACUCACUCCCUACAAGAAAAGAACUGGUUCCUACAAGCCAGUCGACCGAGUGCUGCUGAAGCUGUGGUACUGGCUGCACCUGUACGAGGAGGACCUGCUUGUCCAGCAGGUGCCCUGCAAACGGAGCAGUGAGAAAGUGCCUUGCACCUUUGGGCACCUGAAGCCCAGCACACAGUACUGUGUCCGGACGGUGGCUGCAGACAUUGCCAGGGAGCGGAGCCGGGAGGCUGAGCGGUGCCUGGUGACUCCAGCAGGCCCUGCAGGCUUUCCAUGGGUCCUUGCCGUGCUGAGCGCCUUCUUCCUGCUGCUGCUGCUAAGUGUGGCCGGGCUGUGCUUCAUUCAGCUGCACGUGUUCCCCAGUCCUCCAGAGAUCUGCCUCCCAAAAGCACUGAAGCUGCAGCCAGGAACACCUGCAGGAGAGUCCCGGCACGGCUGGCCACAGGAUCCGGCUCAGCUCCGUGAAGCUCCCGGCUGGGGAGGAGCAGGAGGAGCAGGAGCAGAAGGGGCAGCAGGAGGAGGAGGAGGAGCAGGAGGAGCAGAAGGAGGAGCAGCAGCAGGAGGAGGAGGAGAAGGAGCAGGAGGAGGAGGAGAAGGAGCAGGAGGAGCAGCAGCAGCAGGAGCAGGAGGAGCAGCAGCAGGAGGAGGAGGAGGAGGAGCAGCAGCAGCAGCAGCAGGAGGAGCAGCAGGAGGAGCAGGCUGAGGCAGGGCAGCUCCUCCGCGCCCCCCAAGCCCCGCUCGGCGGCGGGCCCGGCCCGGAGCGCGGUGGCAGCGCAGUGCAGCGAGGCUGCUCGGGGCAGGGAGAACCGUGUGCCUCCAGCCCCUGGCAGCCCCGCUCGCCCCUGCGGGCACCUGCCUGCUCCGGCUACGAGCCGCGGGCCCCCCUGGCAGCUGGGCACGGCGGGUGGGGGCACCCCGAGCGCCCCCCGCUCCCGGAGCCGCCCGGCCAGCGCUGGCUCCUGUCCCCAGCGGCUGCUCCCACGGACAGCCACACGCGUGGGCCACAGCUUUCCGCUGGGGUUUUGGUGCCCUUGAGACACAGCAGAAGGAGCAUGGACCAAAGCUGAACCUCCAAAACUCUUACCUAUUUAUCUGCCUGUGUGUGUGCAUGCACAGUAUAGUAUCUAUACUAGUGUAACAUAUAUAUUUAUAAAGCUCUUUAAUGAAAAAAUGUUGGGGUUCUUACUUCAGUAGUAAUGUUGAUUAUGUGCUAGAGUUUUGGUUUUUUUUUAAAAUAUCAGUAAUUUAUUACAGAAAUCUGGCUUCUGUACUCAUUGUUUGUGUGUUACAGACCCAUCAUGGCCCUUCCCUGUGCAGCAGUCGGGAAAGGCACUGGGUAAACUUGGCAUUUUCCUGGCAGAAAAUUGCACCCUUAAUCUCUGUCUUGCUCUCCUGUGGGAAAAGACUGGUUUUGAGCACCAUGGGAUGCAUUCAUUAUUCCUGCUGCUAGCAGGAAUCCUGGUGUGAUUUAUGGCUGAGGAGCCCUGCCCUGCAGUAGUCCCUCAGGAUGUAUUUUGAGGCUGUGCCUGAAGCCACAGAGGUCAGGGGAAACCUCCUUGUGCUGUGUUGCAAGCUGGGAUCAGUGGAGUCAAAAUGCAGUGACAAAUCCAGGCUCUUGGACUCACAAGAAUUACUCUGGAUCUGAGAACAGGUGAGAAACUGGUGUCUUAUGUCCAGGCAGCUGCUGGAGGGGAUGGAGGUAC